AAAAAAACGUACUAAAUCUAAAAUUGGUAGCAGAAUGCCAAAAUCCCUAGACCAUGGUCCAUAGCCACAAUUUAAGAUGUGAUCUAUAAUAGAACGUGAUUAAUCGGAAUUAUUUAUAUUCGGAGGCUAGCUAAGCUAAUUUAAGAAACCUCAGGGGGGGGUGCGCAAGCAAGGGUUUCAUAUUCAUCCUUUCAUUCUCUCUCUCUCUCUCGCACAGCGCAGACAUGGACGACGAAGACGAGCUACUAUGAUAGAUUCCGGAGUGGACUUGUCCUAUUUCGACGGGCAAGGCCUCACUCCGCUCAUGCACGCGGCCAAGCACGGCCAUGCCCUCCCUUCUCGCAUCUGGCGCGCCCCGGGAACACCCUCUCCGGUGAUCUCGCUGUGGAAGCUGGCUACCUGGGCGCUUCUGAUAUCCUCCUCAACACCGCUUCACUUUUAGUGAGGCUAAGCUGAUGGACGCUGACAAGAAGGCUGUCAUGAUGGCUUGGGAGAAACCUUUGGUGGAGGCUCAUGCAAAAGCUGUUUUUUGCUCAGGCGGUGGUCACAUUCUGAUCAUUGGAUUUGGAAUGGGUCUUCGGGAUACUGCCAUUCAGAAUUGUGUACCAGUCACGCGCACUAUUGUUGAAGCCCACCUGGAAAGUUCAUGCAUGAAUGCUCCGCACUGGUUGGAGUGACCGGGAUAAUGUGAAGAUAAUAUGUGGCAGUUGGCAAGAUCAUGUUCUUUAUCAACUUGAAUCUUAUGAUGGUAACUCCUGAAUCUCAGUUGCACUUUUGCCCACGAACAAAUAAUCACAUUUAUGUUUUAUGCAACUAGUGUACACCCAUGUUCAUUUAAACACACAGUUAUGUGUUUUCAUAUCUAUGUCUACUUAGUUUGUGUUUUAAUAGUACCUAUGAUUGAAUCAUAUGAGUGAUGACCAGAAUGUUCACUUUAGGCUCCUACAAGUGAAAUCUACAUGAAAGAUUGGGAUGGUA